rnacentral:rRNA from 1 species
GACGAACGCUGGCGGCGUGCUUAGUACAUGCAAGUCGAGCGAGGUCCAUCUGGUGGCAACACCAGUGAAGGCCGAGCGGCGAACGGGUGAGUAACACGUGAGCAACCUGCCCCGAAGUCUGGAAUAACAUCGGGAAACCGGUGCUAAUACCGGAUCGCCCCACCUGACCGCAUGAUCGGGUGAGGAAAGAUUUAUCGCUUCGGGAGGGGCUCGCGGCCUAUCAGCAGUUGGUGGGGUAACGGCCUACCAAGGCGUCGACGGGUAGCUGGUCUGAGAGGACGACCAGCCACACUGGGACUGAGACACGGCCCAGACUCCUACGGGAGGCAGCAGUAGGGAAUCUUGCGCAAUGGGCGAAAG